rnacentral:rRNA from 14 species
GCCGCGUGAGUGAUGAAGGCCUUAGGGUUGUAAAGCUCUUUUACCCGGGAUGAUAAUGACAGUACCGGGAGAAUAAGCCCCGGCUAACUCCGUGCCAGCAGCCGCGGUAAUACGGAGGGGGCUAGCGUUGUUCGGAAUUACUGGGCGUAAAGCGCGCGUAGGCGGCAUGAUAAGUCUGAUGUGAAAUCCCCCGGCUCAACCGGGGAGGGUCAUUGGAAACUGUCAUGCUUGAGUGCAGAAGAGGAGAGUGGAAUUCCAUGUGUAGCGGUGAAAUGCGUAGAUAUAUGGAGGAACACCGGUGGCGAAAGCGGCUCUCUGGCUUGUAACUGACGCUGAGGCUCGAAAGCGUGGGGAGCGAACAGGAUUAGAUACCCUGGUAGUCCACGCCGUAAAC